AGCUCAAAAAACAAAAUGAAGACAACAAACCUCCUAUGAGCUGAAAGGAAGUUCAACGGCGUGAGCAGAUAAGAAACAGAACUGAAAACAAGAAGAUCAACCCUACUCGUUGCUUUAAAGAGGUACAUAAUCCUUUUUACUUCGGUCAUGUAAAGGCUACACGCCCGAGCUCGUACAUAUGAAAUAAUGAAAAGAAAGUUGAAGAUAUUAAGUCAGCUGUUAAAAACCGAG
rnacentral:lncRNA from 1 species